rnacentral:lncRNA from 1 species
CUGUUUCGUUAUUCUGUGGCGUCGGUUUUAUGAUUUUAUUACCAUUCAAACUGGUUGGCGACGAAAACAUGGUCUUUGAGAAAUUCCUUCGGUUUUAUUGAGUUAUUUACAAGCUUACUAAAGACGUAAUUCUGUUCAAAACAAUAGAUAAUAUUCGAGUUAUCAGUUAUCGUCGCUGCUUUUUACAAAAAUCACUUAGAAAUAGACAUUAUUUACAUAAUUUUCCGAUGUCUUGUGAUGUUUUCUCGGGAAAGUAUCUCCCGAAUACCUUAGAAUGGACAAUCCCUAUAAAUAUACCUGCUAUAAAGUUUUAAAGAUAAGUUGUCGGAAGGUAUCAGCAAGUGUCAGGGACCUCUGGCUGCUCAAUAAUCCCUCCUUUAUACCCGGUGGCCCCGACUGUUUGUCCCCGCUGGAAGAUCCUCCUGAAACCGGGUUGGUUAUCCACUACACAACCCACACUGAAACAAUCAACCAACCGUUUAUUUUAAUUUUACAAGAGAUGCGGUAAACCUCAUCAAUGGUAUUGUCUUUGCGGGAUGGAAGGUCAGACAGGCAGUCGCUUCUGUAAAAAACCGGACCUAUCAAAUCUUCAGGUCAGGUAAGGGGACCCUGUGAAAAAAUGUGGAGAUGAUGAUGAGUUAAACCUCAUCAAUAAAGAGAAUUAGGCAAUGUUUAUGGCGCAAUCAAAAGUUUAUGUCACUGUUUUUAAUAAAGGAAACUGAGGUUCAUCAACAAUCUCACAACCCACAUGAUAGAAGAAGAAUAAAAAGACGUAACUACAUAUAAUAUAAAUAUCUGUGAGGCCUGAUAAAUAUUAGUUAUUAUUAAGUAUCCAAAAGCGGAACUACAUCACAAAACACUAUUAUCUUAUCAUAAACCAGCCUGUUGGACUACCUUUCUAAUUAUAAUAAUAUAUUUUCAAUAUAUGUUUUAAGUGCAAUAAAGAGUUUUGUAUUGUAUUGUAAACCAGAUCCUACCGUUUGUAAAACCCUGUUGUUGUAAUCCCAAUAAGGAGCCGCCUAUUUUUCAUCUCCUUGUUUUCUGACAAUAUCACUUAAAUCCAAAACGAGAAAUACCACAAUAACACUUUGAAUAAAUUUAUGCUACUUUAAAAUACCUAUGAGGAAUUCCGUAGAACUCUGUCGCGGAUUAUGGCGCCAACAGAAAAUUGGCGCCAUCGCGAACUCUUUUUUAUUCGUUUUAUUUUACAUGGCCAUUUUUGUGGUCAAUUUAAAUUUUAUCACGUUGUUUUGAAUAGUUUGCGAAUAGAAUAGAUGUGUGGCAAUUUUAAAUUUGUCUACGGUCAGCGAACGCGAGUGGUAAUUACGAGUAAUAUUAAAAUUCCGUUCAGAAAUAGCUAAUAGAAACAACAUCGGGCUUGCCGGAUGUCUGAUGGAUCUGAGGAUCGAGAAUUUCAAUCACCUGUUUUGGUUUUUACUGAUGAAAUUCUUCUUCAGGUCACAAAAAAAGCUCAUAAAAAGUUUGACAAUUUUUGAAAAUUUCGUGAAUUUUCCUAAAAUAUCGGCCGGUACUUAAUAGAUGCAUCUAUCUAUUUUUGACAGUGCAUGAAAGAUCUUCAAGAUCUCAUCCGGUAUUGUUAUUUAAUACAAAGAACUAAAUGCACAACGAGAUUUCAUCCAGGAAUGGACUUCUUCUUUUUAGUGAACCAUGCCUGAACAAAUAUCAACACAACAUCGUGAGAAAACCCACAUUCCCGAAAAAUGCAUUUUCGGAGGUAUGUGACCUAAGCUGUAUCGGGCUGGUUUUCCCUUCGCGGUUUGAAAGAUCAUACAAGCAGUCGCUUCUGUAAAAAACCGGACCUGUGAAAUCUUCAGGUUACGUAAUUGGACACCUGCAAAAAACGGGAUAAUGCUAGGGAGAUGAUAAUGAUGAUGCCUGAAGAAAUAUGUUUACAGGUUAGAAAAGGCUCCUUUAAACUAUAAUUAAUGGACAUUUAAAGGCAAACUUGGUCUAUUCUCGACCGCUUGUCUUAAUCAUAUUACUAAGUAAAAGGUCAAUUCAAUUUUAGAAAUAAGUACAUUUCUAAUGGAGUCAACUCCUAAAUUUAACUCGGUAGCAUUUCUCUCUUUUACGGUUGCUAAAGAGUAGUUAGGCCCCCGGGAAUUCUGGUGGUUAUGUUACUGUCUAUUUUGGCAUCACACGGAAAUAUUGCCAAGUUGGUAACUCAUACAGAAUUGUUAUUAUAAAACAACCUUAGAUUUGGACCUUAACAUACCAAAUAAUACACAAGUAUCAUAAAUCAUUCGCUAAACAAAUGAAGGGAACAACCAUGAAGGUUACUCAUGAUAAAUGAAUAAAACUGUUGAUUUUUGACUGAUAACUUCCGAGAUUGAUCUAUGGAAUGUUUGUCAAAAACCACUUGGUUUGAAAACAUUUAUUUGUUUACAAUAUGUUAUUGUGUAAUGUUUGUUUACUGUGAUUUUGGAAGGUCACGCAAAUCCUGUUUUGUUGAUAAUAUUAUGUAGGUAUUUAGUAGAUAAGUACCUAUUUUGUUAUCAUCACCCGUAUAGAGGGGUAUUUGUAAAGAAAAAUUUUAACGAUAAAUAGAAGAAGAAUUUUGAAUAUGUGGUGGUGAAUUGAGUGGCCUAAAUAUACAUCAACAACACAUGACUAGUUGCUAUAAUGCCAGUAUGAGUUAUUAAUGUAAUAUUGUAUGGUAUGAUAGAAAGAGGAACAAAAAAUAUGCUGCGAAAAGUGUAUUCCUUUUUUAAAACUAAACUACAAUAUUACAUUAUUUUCAUACAAAUAAGCGAGAAGGAAAAGUGUAUGAAAAUUGAUUACUUACUUCCCACUUUUUCCUUUUUCUGUUUGUGGAAGAAGAAAUAAAUAUUUUUAUUUUCGAAAACAUGUCAAAACACGAAAUGUUUUGAUAUCCAAGCAUGCAUUUGUUGUGAGGGUGGCGUAACGUGGCUGUAUAUAAAAAAAAAAAGAAAACAGAAUAGAAAAUAAAAUGCGCGCAACUCGCCAUCAUGUUUCAUAUUGAAUAUUGAAUACAAAAAAAAAUACACAAAGUCUACCACCGAAAAAUAAUAAUGGUGUACCAUCACCUUUAGAUUAACAUGUUUUAAGGGGCCUCUAAAGUUGACUUCGGCCCCACGCACACCUUCCAAAGGUCUGGAACUCUAGUCCCGACAUAUGGAACGAAGAGUUCCAAUAAUAAUAAAUAAUAAUUUAUUUCAGACGAAACCAUGUAGUAAUAAUGUCCACCGACAAAAUUGGUAUGAAGGACAUUAUGUACCGAGAUAUGAUGACAUUUAAACUUAGAGAUAAAAUUAUCCAUUUACCUACUUAGAUCUCUGAAGGUCAAUCGAAACAAACUUAAUACGAAUGAUAGGUUACAUUCACAAACAAUUCUCGUUAUUUACUCAAUUAAAUAUUAUUGCUGUUUUAGUGUCAGAUGAUAAAAAUAAUUAAAUGUCAGUUUAAAUAUCGGACAUGAUCAUGAACCCUGUUUUUCUAGGCGGAGAAUAUGCCCGGAUGGCUCAAGGUUAUAAUAACCUGGGGGUUAAAAACGCCACAUCAAUACAAUUCAGGCUUUUUGGCGGGAAACGGGAACGGGACAGUUGCUUUCUUCAUUGAAUAAUCUAAAUAAUUAAUACGAAGUGGUGUUUUGUGGUUAAUGAUCGCAUUAAGUUAGUCGGAAGACAUUCACGAGUGUUAUUAUAUUGGAGUAUUCAAUAAACAAAGUGUAUCUGCCUAUUUUCGCUUCGUGUCAGGAAGCCGCUUCAUAACUCAAAAGUUUAUGCGGACUUUUGAGUUAAUUCGUUUGGGGUUCGGAGUAGGAGUCUACUCCGAGGGUGGGGGCUUAGGUUUCAUCAUCAUCACCUUUCAUCAUUUCAUUAAUCAUCAAGAAAAAAAAUACGUCAGACAUGGCUGUAUGGGCAUAGUUCCCUUUGCCUUACCCUUCGGGGAAAACAAAAACAAAAAAAAAAAUCAAUACAAUUCAUCUAAAUAAGCAAUAUUGCCAUUUGACAUUUGUUUGCAUUGCGCACUUACUUUUAUAUUCGCAAACGUCAAAUGUUUCGAUGACGCCUUUUUUACCCCCUGAUAUCCUCUGUAGCUCAUUGAUCAACUGAAAUCUGUCAAUAAACAAAAACAAAUUAUUUCGAGUUUAGAACAAAAGCAAUGUAAAAUAAACAUAACAUGAUAUAAAGAGCCUAUAUACGUCCCACUGCUGGGCACAGGCCUCCUCUCAAUCAACCGGAGGGCGAAGGGAGGGAGGGUACCCACGCUAGUUGCGGGUAGGUGGAGGUGUUUUUUACGGCUAGUAGCCAGGAUCAACGGCUUAGCGUGCCCUCCGAAACAAGACAAUCAGAUGAUUCAAGCUUACAAUGUCCUUAGUCCUCACCAAACAAAGGACAGAUGAAAAAAAAAACCUAUGUGUGCGUCAAGCUAGCGGCCUCAAAAAAAAAAUGGGCACGAAAAAAUAAUUUGACCAUACCAAAAAAUAGUACUCUUAUUGAAAAAAAUAGUACCUGUUGUAAAAAAAAUAGUACCAUCACGGUUCUGGAUUUAUAGCCAUGUUUUAUUGCACUUGCUAGCUUGACGGUGAGCGAAAUUUGGCGAGAGUUAACGACAAGGUCUUUCGCUUGGAUUUAAACGCCAAAAAAUAGUACCAAAAUAGUACUCACCCCCUGCAAAAUACCGAAAUGAGUACUUCAACGGUUCCAAAGUUAUAAAGGCAGUUCUUUGAUCCCGCUAGCUUGACGUUUUGAAAAUACCUAUUAUCUAGGGAACGCUUGCAUACUUCAGUUUGUAACUAAUGUCAAUAAACUCGUAUGAAAUAGUACUCCCUACCAUCAUAAUUUGGACCUGAUUCUCUUUGUAGAAAUAUGUCAAAAAGUCAUUAUAACCUAUGUCAUACAUUUAUCAAGACAGGUACCGUCGCGAACAAAAUUAUUACACAUGCUCAAGAAGGAUGUUGUCAGAUUUUAGUAUUUUUUCCCCAUUUUUGGGUAAAAAAGUGUUUCUUUCUGUGUACUAUUGUGUACAAAUAAAUAAAUAAAUAAAAAUGGUGAAGUGCCAGGGUUGUCAGAUGAAAGUAUUAUCAUUGUUGAAACUCUUUGAGUUAUUCUACAAAUACUGCAAAUUGUUUAUUAACAAACACUUCGAUCCGUAACAAAUUGAACAUGAAGGUAUAAAUUAUAAAAUAAAACAGUAGAUUAAAAAUGAAUUAUGAUGUAUUAAAAUCACAGAUUGUUUUCAAUAAGAACUAGACCCAUGCAGCCAUUUUCUAUUAAAAUUAGUGCAUAUGGGUGUAUGAAAUAGCAUUUUUUUGUAAUAGCAACACUCUGAAGUGCAAAGAAAUGGUAGGGUAGACCUCCAAAAUGGCAAUACUGGCGAUGGCAAUACUUACGAAUAAAUUGUGAGGUUAUGUAAUUGUCUAAGUGACUGUAUCAACAACAAAUGUAUGGCAUAGGUUAUGAUGAUUUUUUAACAUAUUUCUACAAAGGGAAUCGGAUCAAAAUUAUGAUGGUAGGAAGUACUAUUUCAUACGAGUUUAUUGAUAUUAGUUACAUACCCCUUUACAACCGGACGAUCGAAAGUUUGCGGCGACUCAUAAAAUUUAUAUCAGUUCAUUAAUAGGACUUAUUGAACACAGGAAAAAUAAUAAAAAAAAUCAGGAGUAUGCUGGUCUUCAGCAAUCAGACCCUCACGAUCGUGAGGUUCAGGAAAUAAAGUUAAGUGGCACGUAAAUGAGGGUUAUAUUUUACUUAAACGUUUGGUUAUAUUAUCGGGAAAUAAAACAAGUAAAUUAACUCAAAUCUAAACUUUUGGUAUUUAUUCAACUUACAAGCAAAAGAAAACAUAAGAAAAGAUAUUUUAACUAGUAAUAUUUAGGAACUUAGUCAGAUUACAUCAGUCAAGAAAUUUCUUUACUAAAAUAAGAACGUAAUGUAGAUGUAGUUAUUACAUAGUAAACAAUCUAAUUAUUUUUUAUGAUAAUGUACAAAACAAUCUUUAACACGAGAAAGACACAAAUAUACAGGGUGUUAGUGGCAUCGUAACGAAAACUUUGAGGGAUGAUUCAGGCCAUGAUUCUAAGUUUAUCUCAAGUAGAAUUUUCCGUCGCAAAGGUAUGGAACUGAAUUUAAUUAAAAAAAAUACAAUUUUCAUGAAUUUUCCGGCAAGAAAUACACUAAUAUCAACUCAGAAUCAUGGUCUUCAUCAUCCCCCUCGGUACGGUCGUUUGCUACGGUGUCACUAACACCCAUACCUACUUGUAUGGCUACCUGUAUGUACUUGUACGGGGUGUAAGUGACACCGUAACGAAUACUAAGGAGGAUGAUUCAGCUCAUUAGUUUGAAUUAAUAUCAAGUGGAAUUUUCGGUCGUAAAAGUAUACAAUUAAAAAUAAAAAAAAAACUAAAUAAAAUCAUGAAUUUUGCGACGGAAAUUUUGAUCGGCCACGUACAGAUCGGCUUUGUCGUGACCGUGAAGCCGUAGGACUACCAGUAGGUGAGUCAAGUGGUGGCGGAGAUGGUGGAGGCAAUCGUGACGGUGAGGCAAGCGGCUCUUUUACUGUGUCCUCGGCUGAUAAUUCCUCGUCAUCACUGUUUUCUAAGUAAUCGAACACCUGAGGCACAAAUUCUGCAUUUUCGUCAUCCAAAUCUUCGAUUUCUGAUAAGGUUCCAUCUCCGAGAAUGUCUUGUAUACUUGGUCUGGCAAAGGAAUCCCUAAAAUAAGAAAAAUAAGCCAUAAUUGAAGCAAUAUCAAGCAAAAAUUUUGAUUGAACCCCAAAAUCUUUUUUGUUAGCGACAACCGGUAUAACACGAUCGUGCGUGUCAACAUUUCGAAUAUUGCUGUGCAAAACCUAUUAAAUACAUUCAAUAAAUAUAAAUUCAUAUAGGUAAAUAGAUCAAUAUUCUACCAAUAUAAAUAAAAAACUAUAGUGAAAUUCAUCAAAACCAGUAAAAAAAAUACGUAGUUACCUGAGCGGGUACGACGAUCAAAAAAUGCAGCCAUCCCUCCGGCAGGUUUUGGACGACUGGCGAAACCAAACGUGUACCGACAUGUUCAAAGUAUUUUUUUCUAUACUCUAGAAUACCCGCACGAUCAAUCGGCGCCGGUUGCGUCCGCUAAAGGUAAUUUAAAUUCAGCCUAGAAUUUUUCAAACUUUAACAAACUUAACCCGCACGAUCGUAUAGGCUCGGGUGUAAAGGGAUACUGAAGUAUGCAAGCGUUCCCCAGAUAAUAGGUAUUUUCAAAACGUCAAGCUAGCGGGAUCAAAGAACUGCCUUUAUAACUUUGGAACCGUUGAAGUACUCAUUUCGGUAUUUUGCAGGGGGUGAGUACUAUUUUGGUACUAUUUUUUGGCGUUUAAAUCAAAGCGAAAGACCUUGUCGUUAACUCUCGCCAAAUUUCGCUCACCGUCAAGCUAGCAAGUGCAAUAAAACAUGGCUAUAAAUCCAGAACCGUGAUGGUACUAUUUUUUUUACAACAGGUACUAUUUUUUUCAAUAAGAGUACUAUUUUUUGGUAUGGUCAAAUUAUUUUUUCGUGCCCAUUUUUUUUUUGAGGCCGCUAGCUUGACGCA